rnacentral:rRNA from 1 species
UACGUAGGGUGCGAGCGUUGUCCGGAAUUACUGGGCGUAAAGAGCUCGUAGGUGGUUUGUCGCGUUGUUCGUGAAAACUCACAGCUUAACUGUGGGCGUGCGGGCGAUACGGGCAGACUGGAGUACUGCAGGGGAGACUGGAAUCCUGGUGUAGCGGUGGAAUGCGCAGAUAUCAGGAGGAACACCGGUGGCGAAGGCGGGUCUCUGGGCAGUAACUGACGCUGGAGGAGCGAAAGCGUGGGGAGCGAACAGG